GAUGAACGCUGGCGGCGUGCCUAAUACAUGCAAGUCGAGCGAACAGACGAGGAGCUUGCUCCUCUGACGUUAGCGGCGGACGGGUGAGUAACACGUGGAUAACCUACCUAUAAGACUGGGAUAACUUCGGGAAACCGGAGCUAAUACCGGAUAAUAUAUUGAACCGCAUGGUUCAAUAGUGAAAGACGGUUUUGCUGUCACUUAUAGAUGGAUCCGCGCCGCAUUAGCUAGUUGGUAAGGUAACGGCUUACCAAGGCAACGAUGCGUAGCCGACCUGAGAGGGUGAUCGGCCACACGGGAACUGAGACACGGUCCAGACUCCUACGGAAGGCAGCAGUAGGGAAUCUUCGGCAAUGGGCGAAAGCCUGACGGAGCAACGCCGCGUGAGUGAGGAAGGUCUUCGGAUCGUAAAACUCUGUUAUUAGGGAAGAACAAAUGUGUAAGUAACUAUGCACGUCUUGACGGUACCUAAUCAGAAAGCCACGGCUAACUACGUG
rnacentral:rRNA from 1 species